AUAAGGGCGUACGGUGGAUGCCUAGACACUAUUCAACGAAGAAGGACGUCGCAGGGUGCGAUAAGCCUCGGGGAGGUCCCAAGCAACCUUUGAUCCGGGGAUUUCCGAAUGGGGGAACCCAUGUCGCGUAAUGGUGACAUACUGUACAGUGAAUACAUAGCUGUAUGGAGAAGACCUGGUGAAGUGAAACAUCUCAGUAGCCAGAGGAAUAAAAAGAAAAAAAAGUUCCGAUUUAUCGGAAUUCGAUUCCCUUAGUAGUGGCGAACGAACGGGGAACAGCCCAAACCAAUACAUUUUAUGUAUAGUCGAAGACUCCUGGAACGGAGCACCAUAGCGGGUGAUAGUCCCGUAGACGAAAUACGGCUUUAAUUGUAUAGGUUUAUCCUGAGUACGGCGGAGCACGUGAAACUCCGUCGGAAUCCGCCAGGACUAUCUGGUAAGGCUAAAUAUGAAUAGUGAUCGAUAGUGAACAAGUACCGUGAGGGAAAGGUGAAAAGCAGCCCGGAGAGGGCGAUGAAAUAGUCUCUGAAACCGUAUGUCUACAAAGAGCUGAAGUCCUAACUAUAUAUCUUCGGAUAUAUGGGGGACAACAGUAUUCCUAUUGAAGAAUGAGCCUGCGAGUAUGCUAUGUGUGGCAAGGUUAAGGGCCUUUGGUCCGAAGCCGUAGGGAAACCGAGUCUUAACCGGCGUUAAGUCGCACAUACAUAACCCGAAACCGGGUGAGCAAUCCAUGACCAGGUUGAAGGGAUGGUAAAACAUCCUGGAGGACCGAACCCACGCACCGUGCAACAUGCGGGGAUGAGUUGUGGAUAGCGGAGAAAUUCCUAUCGAACUCGGUAAUAGCUGGUUCUCCUCGAAAUAGCUUUAGGGCUAGCUGUAUGCGUUCCCCUCAGGGGUAGAGCACUGGAUGCGGCUGGGGUCCCUCGGGAUACCCACUGCAAUCAAACUCCGAAUACUGAGGAUUAAAAGCAUGCAAGUUAGGCUGCGGGGGCUAAGCUUCGUAGCCAAAAGGGAAACAGCCCAGAUCAUCAGUUAAGGUCCCUAAAUCAAUACUAAGUGUAAAACGUGGUGGAGAUUCUUAUACAACCAGGAGGUUUGCUUAGAAGCAGCCAUCCUUUAAAGAUAGCGUAAUAGCUCACUGGUCAAGAGUCUCUGCGCGGAAAAUGUACCGGGGCUAAGUAUUGUACCGAAACUAUGGAUUCAUUAUUUCUCCGGAAAUAAUGAGUGGUAGAGGAGCAUUCCUACUGCGUUGAAGUCGGAUCCGCGAGGACCGGUGGAGCGGUGGGAAGAGAGAAUGCAGGCACAAGUAGCAAAAAUGUGUGUGAAAGUCACACACGCCGAAAUCCCAAGGUUUCCAGGGCAACGUGAAUCGUCCCUGGGUUAGUCGGUCCUAAGGCCAGCCUAUCGCAAGGUGGGGUAACCGAUGGACAGCAGGUUAAUAUUCCUGCACUUGGU
rnacentral:rRNA from 1 species